rnacentral:rRNA from 1 species
CGGCGCCUACCGCUGAAAUGGCGUAUGAGAUCUGGAGGAAUAUCCCUGGGGAAGUCGUCCCCUUGGACACACACUGUCUCUCACGUGAGAGAGCGUGGCGAGCAAGCAGGAUUAGAUACCCUGGUAGUACACGCCGUAAACGAUGUCGAUUUGGAGGUUGCGCCCUUGAGGCGUGGCUUCCGGAGCUAACGCGUUAAAUCCACCGCCUGGGGAGUACGGCCGCAAGGUUAAAACUCAAAUGAAUUGACGGGGGCCCGCACAAGCGGUGGAGCAUGUGGUUUAAUUCGAUGCAACGCGAAGAACCUUACCUGGUCUUGACAUCCACAGAACUUUCCAGAGAUGGAUUGGUGCCUUCGGGAACUGUGAGACAGGUGCUGCAUGGCUGUCGUCAGCUCGUGUUGUGAAAUGUUGGGUUAAGUCCCGCAACGAGCGCAACCCUUAUCCUUUGUUGCCAGCGGUUAGGCCGGGAACUCAAAGGAGACUGCCAGUGAUAAACUGGAGGAAGGUGGGGAUGACGUCAAGUCAUCAUGGCCCUUACGACCAGGGCUACACACGUGCUACAAUGGCAUAUACAAAGAGAAGCGACCUCGCGAGAGCAAGCGGACCUCAUAAAGUAUGUCGUAGUCCGGAUUGGAGUCUGCAACUCGACUCCAUGAAGUCGGAAUCGCUAGUAAUCGUAGAUCAGAAUGCUACGGUGAAUACGUUCCCGGGCCUUGUACACACCGCCCGUCACACCAUGGGAGUGGGUUGCAAAAGAAGUAGGUAGCUUAACCUUCGGGAG